GACCUUGUGAUCCGCCCGCCUCGGCCUCCCAAAGUGCUGGGAUUACAGGUGUGAGCCACCGCGCCUGGCCAAAUGUGCAGGAUUUUCACAUGACAAGGAAAUUAAGAUGGAAUCAUCAUAGAAAAAUGGAAGAUACAGA